AUUGAACGCUGGCGGCAGGCCUAACACAUGCAAGUCGACCGAGUGGCGGACGGGUGAGUAUUGUCUGUGACACUGCCUGAUGGAGGGGGAUAACUACUGGAAACGGUAGCUAAUACCGCCUAACACCAGAUUUGCCCAGAUGGGAUUAGCGAGUUGGUGGGGUAACGGCUCAACAAGCCGACGACCCCUAGCUGGUCUGAGAGGAUGACCAGCCACACUGGAACGGAGACACGGUCCAGACUCCUACGGGAGGCAGCAGUGGGGAAUAUUGCACAAUGGGCGCAAGCCUGAUGCAGCCAUGCCGCGUGUAUGAAGAAGGCCUUCGGGUUGUAAAGUACUUUCAGCGGGGAGGCGUUACCCGCAGAAGAAGCACCGGCUAACUCCGUGCCAGCAGCCGCGGUAAUUC
rnacentral:rRNA from 1 species